rnacentral:rRNA from 1 species
GUCCAGACUCCUACGGGAGGCAGCAGUGGGGAAUAUUGCACAAUGGGGGAAACCCUGAUGCAGCGACGCCGCGUGAGUGAAGAAGUAUUUCGGUAUGUAAAGCUCUAUCAGCAGGGAAGAAAAUGACGGUACCUGACUAAGAAGCCCCGGCUAACUACGUGCCAGCAGCCGCGGUAAUACGUAGGGGGCAAGCGUUAUCCGGAUUUACUGGGUGUAAAGGGAGCGUAGACGGCAUGGCAAGUCAGAUGUGAAAGCCCGGGGCUCAACCCCGGGACUGCAUUUGAAACUGUCAGGCUGGAGUGCAGGAGAGGUAAGUGGAAUUCCUAGUGUAGCGGUGAAAUGCGUAGAUAUUAGGAGGAACACCAGUGGCGAAGGCGGCUUACUGGACGGUAACUGACGUUGAGGCUCGAAAGCGUGGGGAGCAAACAGGAUUAGAUACCCCGGUACGA